rnacentral:siRNA from 1 species
GGCCCAUUAGCUCAGUUG